AUGUGGAGGCUAUAUACAGGGUGUUACGGUACAGAGUCAAUGUGGAGGCUAUAUACAGGGUGUUACGGUACAGAGUCAAUGUGGAGGCUAUAUACAGGGUAUUACGGUACAGAGUCAAUGUGGAGGCUAUAUACAGGGUAUUACGGUACAGAGUCAAUGUGGAGGAUAUAUACAGGGUAUUACGGUACAGAGUCAAUGUGGAGGCUAUAUACAGGGUAUUACGGUACAGAGUCAAUGUGGAGGCUAUAUACAGGGUGUUACGGUACAGAGUCAAUGUGGAGGCUAUAUACAGGGUAUUACGGUACAGAGUCAAUGUGGAGGCUAUAUAAAGGGUAUUACGGUACAGACUCAAUGUGGAGGCUAUAUACAGGGUAUUACGGUACAGAGUCAAUGUGGAGGCUAUAUACAGGGUGUUACGGUAUAGAGUCGAUGUGGAGGCUAUAUACAGGGUGUUACGGUACAGAGUCAAUGUGGAGGCUAUAUACAGGGGGUACAGGUACAGAGUCAAUGUGGAGGCUAUAUACAGGGGGUACAGGUACAGAGUCAAUGUGGAGGCUAUAUACAGGGUAUUACGGUACAGAGUCAAUGUGGAGGCUAUAUACAGGGUGUUACGGUACAGAGUCAAUGUGGAGGAUAUAUACAGGGUAUUACGGUACAGAGUCAAUGUGGAGGAUAUAUACAGGGUGUUACGGUACAGAGUCAAUGUGGAGGCUAUAUACAGGGGGUACCAGUACAGAGUCAAUGUGGAGGCUAUAUACAGGGUGUUACGGUACAGAGUCAAUGUGGAGGCUAUAUACAGGGUAUUACGGUACAGAGUCAAUGUGGAGGCAAUAUACAGGGUGUUACGGUACAAAGUCAAUGUGGAGGCUAUAUACAGGGUAUUACGGUACAGAGUCAAUGUGGAGGCUAUAUACAGGGUGUUACCGUACAGAGUCAAUGUGGAGGCUAUAUACAGGGUAUUACGGUACAGAGUCAAUGUGGAGGCUAUAUACAGGGUGUUACGGUACAGAGUCAAUGUGGAGGCUAUAUACAGGGGGUACUGGUACAGAGUCAAUGUGGAGGCUAUAUACAGGAGGUACUGGUACAGAGUCAAUGUGGAGACUAUAUACAGGGGGUAUUGCUACAGAGUCAAUGUGGAGGCUAUAUACAGGGGGUACUGGUACAGAGUCAAUGUGGAGGCUAUAUACAGGGGGUACCGAUACAGAGUCAAUGUGGAGGCUAUAUACAGGGGGUACCGAUACAGAGUCAAUGUGGAGGCUAUAUACAGGGGGUACUGGUACAGAGUCAAUGUGGAGGCUAUAUACAGGGUGUUACGGUACAGAGUCAAUGUGGAGGAUAUAUACAGGGGGUACUGGUACAGAGUCAAUGUGGAGGCUAUAUACAGGGGGUACUGGUACAGAGUCAAUGUGGAGGCUAUAUACAGGAAGUACCGGUACAGAGUCAAUGUGGAGGCUAUAUACAGGGGGUACUGGUACAGAGUCAAUGUGGAGGCUAUAUACAGGGUGUUACGGUACAGAGUCAAUGUGGAGGCUAUAUACAGGGGGUACUGGUACAGAGUCAAUGUGGAGGCUAUAUACAGGGGGUACUGGUACAGAGUCAAUGUGGAGGCUAUAUACAGGGUGUUACGGUACAGAGUCAAUGUGGAGGCUAUAUACAGGGGGUACUGGUACAGAGUCAAUGUGGAGGCUAUAUACAGGAGGUACUGGUACAGAGUCAAUGUGGAGACUAUAUACAGGGGGUAUUGGUACAGAGUCAAUGUGGAGGCUAUAUACAGGGGGUACUGGUACAGAGUCAAUGUGGAGGCUAUAUACAGGGUGUACGGUACAGAGUCAAUGUGGAGGAUAUAUACAGGGGGUACUGGUACAGAGUCAAUGUGGAGGCUAUAUACAGGGGGUACUGGUACAGAGUCAAUGUGGAGGCUAUAUACAGGAAGUACCGGUACAGAGUCAAUGUGGAGGCUAUAUACAGGGGGUACAGGUACAGAGUCAAUGUGGAGGCUAUAUACAGGGUGUUACGGUACAGAGUCAAUGUGGAGGCUAUAUACAGGGGGUACUGGUACAGAGUCAAUGUGGAGGCUAUAUACAGGGGGUACUGGUACAGAGUCAAUGUGGAGGCUAUAUACAGGGGGUACUGGUACAGAGUCAAUGUGGAGGCUAUAUACAGGAGGUACUGGUACAGAGUCAAUGUGGAGGAUAUAUACAGGGGGUACUGGUACAGAGUCAAUGUGGAGGCUAUAUACAGGGGGUACUGGUACAGAGUCAAUGUGGAGGCUAUAUACAGGAGGUACUGGUACAGAGUCAAUGUGGAGGCUAUAUACAGGGGGUACUGGUACAGAGUCAAUGUGGAGGCUAUAUACAGGAGGUACUGGUACAGAGUCAAUGUGGAGACUAUAUACAGGGGGUAUUGGUACAGAGUCAAUGUGGAGGCUAUAUACAGGGGGUACUGGUACAGAGUCAAUGUGGAGGCUAUAUACAGGAGGUAUUGGUACAGAGUCAAUGUGGAGGCUAUAUACAGUGGGUAUUGGUACAGAGUCAAUGUGGAGACUAUAUACAGGGGGAACUGGUACUGUGUCAACGUGGAGGCUAUAUAAAGGGGGUACUGGUACAGAGUCAAUGUGGAGACUAUAUACAGGGGGGUAUUACGGUACAGAGUCAAUGUGGAGGCUAUAUUCAGGGGGUACUGGUACAGAGUCAAUGUGGAGGCUAUAUACAGGGUAUUACGGUACAGAGUCAAUGUGGAGACUAUAUACAGGGGGUAUUGGUACAGAGUCAAUGUGGAGGCUAUAUACAGGGGGUACUGGUACAGAGUCAAUGUGGAGGCUAUAUACAGGGGGUACCGAUACAGAGUCAAUGUGGAGGCUAUAUACAGGGGGUACUGGUACAGAGUCAAUGUGGAGGCUAUAUACAGGGUGUUACGGUACAGAGUCAAUGUGGAGGCUAUAUACAGGGUGUUACGGUACAGAGUCAAUGUGGAGGCUAUAUACAGGGGGUACUGGUACAGAGUCAAUGUGGAGGCUAUAUACAGGAGGUACUGGUACAGAGUCAAUGUGGAGACUAUAUACAGGGGGUAUUGCUACAGAGUCAAUGUGGAGGCUAUAUACAGGGGGUACUGGUACAGAGUCAAUGUGGAGGCUAUAUACAGGGGGUACCGAUACAGAGUCAAUGUGGAGGCUAUAUACAGGGGGUACCGAUACAGAGUCAAUGUGGAGGCUAUAUACAGGGGGUACCGGUACAGAGUCAAUUAGUGCCUUGCGGUUGGAGGCAGUAA
rnacentral:lncRNA from 1 species